GAUGAACGCUGGCGGCGUGCUUAACACAUGCAAGUCGAACGGAAAGGCCCAAGCUUGCUUGGGUACUCGAGUGGCGAACGGGUGAGUAACACGUGGGUGAUCUGCCCUGCACUUCGGGAUAAGCCUGGGAAACUGGGUCUAAUACCGGAUAGGACCACUUCUUGGAUGUUGUGGUGGAAAGUUUUUUCUGUGUGGGAUGAGCUCGCGGCCUAUCAGCUUGUUGGGGGGGUAAUGGCCUACCAAGGCGUCGCCGGGUAGCCGGCAUGAGGGGGUGUACGGGCACCUUGGGACUGCGAGACGGAGCAGAAGCGAACCGGCGGCAGCAGAGGGGAGUCUUGCAGAACGGGGGCGAGCCUGAUGCAGAGGCGCCGGGUGGGGGAUGACGGGUUUGGGGUUGUAAACUCCGGUCGCUAGGGAAGAAGCGUUUUGUGACGGUACCUGGAGAAGAAGCAACGGCUAACUACGUG
rnacentral:rRNA from 1 species